UAGGGUCGGUUCGGCCGGAUUUCACACAGGUGUUGCAUGGCUGUCGUCAGCUCGUGUCGUGAGAUGUUGGUUAAGUCCCGCAACGAGCGUAACCCUCAUCCUUAGUUGCCAUCAGGUAAUGCUGAGCACUUUAAGGAAACUGCUAGUGAUAAACUGGAGGAAGGUGGGGAUGAUGUCAAGUCAUCAUGGCCCUUAUGGAGUGGGCUACAUACGUGCUACAAUGGUGGCUACAAUGGGCUGCAAAGUCGCGAGGCCAAGCUAAUCCCUUAAAAGCCAUCUCAGUUCGGAUUGUACUCUGCAACUCGAGUGCAUGAAGUUGGAAUCGCUAGUAAUCGUGGAUCAGCAUGCCACGGUGAAUACGUUCUCGGGUCUUGUACACACUGCCCGUCACGCCAUGGGAAUUGGUUUCACUCGAAGCUAAUGACCUAACCGCAAGGAGGGAGUUAUUUAAAGUGGGAUCAGUGACUGGGGUGAAGUCGUAACAAGGUAGGCGUAGUGCU
rnacentral:rRNA from 1 species